rnacentral:rRNA from 1 species
ACCCGGCAUGGCGGCGAUGCUAUACAUGCAGUCGCACGAACUCUGGUAUUGAUUGGUGCUUGCAUCAUGAUUUACAUUUGAGUGAGUGGCGAACUGGUGAGUAACACGUGGGAAACCUGCCCAGAAGCGGGGGAUAACACCUGGAAACAGAUGCUAAUACCGCAUAACAACUUGGACCGCAUGGUCCGAGUUUGAAAGAUGGCUUCGGCUAUCACUUUUGGAUGGUCCCGCGGCGUAUUAGCUAGAUGGUGGGGUAACGGCUCACCAUGGCAAUGAUACGUAGCCGACCUGAGAGGGUAAUCGGCCACAUUGGGACUGAGACACGGCCCAAACUCCUACGGGAGGCAGCAGUAGGGAAUCUUCCACAAUGGACGAAAGUCUGAUGGAGCAACGCCGCGUGAGUGAAGAAGGGUUUCGGCUCGUAAAACUCUGUUGUUAAAGAAGAACAUAUCUGAGAGUAACUGUUCAGGUAUUGACGGUAUUUAACCAGAAAGCCACGGCUAACUACGUGCCAGCAGCCGCGGUAAUACGUAGGUGGCAAGCGUUGUCCGGAUUUAUUGGGCGUAAAGCGAGCGCAGGCGGUUUUUUAAGUCUGAUGUGAAAGCCUUCGGCUCAACCGAAGAAGUGCAUCGGAAACUGGGAAACUUGAGUGCAGAAGAGGACAGUGGAACUCCAUGUGUAGCGGUGAAAUGCGUAGAUAUAUGGAAGAACACCAGUGGCGAAGGCGGCUGUCUGGUCUGUAACUGACGCUGAGGCUCGAAAGUAUGGGUAGCAAACAGGAUUAGAUACCCUGGUAGUCCAUACCGUAAACGAUGAAUGCUAAGUGUUGGAGGGUUUCCGCCCUUCAGUGCUGCAGCUAACGCAUUAAGCAUUCCGCCUGGGGAGUACGGCCGCAAGGCUGAAACUCAAAGGAAUUGACGGGGGCCCGCACAAGCGGUGGAGCAUGUGGUUUAAUUCGAAGCUACGCGAAGAACCUUACCAGGUCUUGACAUACUAUGCAAAUCUAAGAGAUUAGACGUUCCCUUCGGGGACAUGGAUACAGGUGGUGCAUGGUUGUCGUCAGCUCGUGUCGUGAGAUGUUGGGUUAAGUCCCGCAACGAGCGCAACCCUUAUUAUCAGUUGCCAGCAUUAAGUUGGGCACUCUGGUGAGACUGCCGGUGACAAACCGGAGGAAGGUGGGGAUGACGUCAAAUCAUCAUGCCCCUUAUGACCUGGGCUACACACGUGCUACAAUGGAUGGUACAACGAGUUGCGAACUCGCGAGAGUAAGCUAAUCUCUUAAAGCCAUUCUCAGUUCGGAUUGUAGGCUGCAACUCGCCUACAUGAAGUCGGAAUCGCUAGUAAUCGCGGAUCAGCAUGCCGCGGUGAAUACGUUCCCGGGCCUUGUACACACCGCCCGUCACACCAUGAGAGUUUGUAACACCCAAAGUCGGUGGGGUAACCUAUAGGAACCAGCCGCCUAAGGUGGACAGAAAAGGCCCCCGCC